ensembl:misc_RNA Metazoa_SRP Metazoan signal recognition particle RNA
GCCGGGCGUGGUGGUGCAUGCCUGCAAUCCCAGCUACUCGGGAGGCUGAGGUAGGAGAAUUGCUUGAACCCAGGAGGUGGAGGGUGCAGUGAAUGAGAUCGCACCACUGUAUCACUGCACUUUACCCUGGGCUAUAGAGCAAGACUCCGCCCCAA